UGCUUAACACAUGCAAGUCGAACGGAAAGGCCCUGCUUUUGUGGGGUGCUCGAGUGGCGAACGGGUGAGUAACACGUGAGUAACCUGCCCUUGACUUUGGGAUAACUUCAGGAAACUGGGGCUAAUACCGGAUAGGAGCUCCUGCUGCAUGGUGGGGGUUGGAAAGUUUCGGCGGUUGGGGAUGGACUCGCGGCUUAUCAGCUUGUUGGUGGGGUAGUGGCUUACCAAGGCCUUGACGGGUAGCCGGCCUGAGAGGGUGACCGGCCACAUUGGGACUGAGAUACGGCCCAGACUCCUACGGGAGGCAGCAGUGGGGAAUAUUGCACAAUGGGCGGAAGCCUGAUGCAGCGACGCCGCGUGCGGGAUGACGGCCUUCGGGUUGUAAACCGCUUUCGCCUGUGACGAAGCGUGAGUGACGGUAAUGGGUAAAGAAGCACCGGCUAACUACGUGCCAGCAGCCGCGGUAAUACGUAGGGUGCGAGCGUUGUCCGGAUUUAUUGGGCGUAAAGGGCUCGUAGGUGGUUGAUCGCGUCGGAAGUGUAAUCUUGGGGCUUAACCCUGAGCGUGCUUUCGAUACGGGUUGACUUGAGGAAGGUAGGGGAGAAUGGAAUUCCUGGUGGAGCGGUGGAAUGCGCAGAUAUCAGGAGGAACACCAGUGGCGAAGGCGGUUCUCUGGGCCUUUCCUGACGCUGAGGAGCGAAAGCGUGGGGAGCGAACAGGCUUAGAUACCCUGGUAGUCCACGCUGUAAACGGUGGGUACUAGGUGUGGGGUCCAUUCCACGGGUUCCGUGCCGUAGCUAACGCUUUAAGUACCCCGCCUGGGGAGUACGGCCGCAAGGCUAAAACUCAAAGGAAUUGACGGGGCCCCGCACAAGCGGCGGAGCAUGCGGAUUAAUUCGAUGCAACGCGUAGAGCCUUACCUGGGUUUGACAUGGAUCGGGAGUGCUCAGAGAUGGGUGUGCCUCUUUUGGGGUCGGUUCACAGGUGGUGCAUGGCUGUCGUCAGCUCGUGUCGUGAGAUGUUGGGUUAAGUCCCGCAACGAGCGCAACCCUUGUUCACUGUUGCCAGCACGUUAUGGUGGGGACUCAGUGGAGACCGCCGGGGUCAACUCGGAGGAAGGUGGGGAUGACGUCAAGUCAUCAUGCCCCUUAUGUCCAGGGCUUCACGCAUGCUACAAUGGCUGGUACAGAGAGUGGCGAGCCUGUGAGGGUGAGCGAAUCUCGGAAAGCCGGUCUCAGUUCGGAUUGGGGUCUGCAACUCGACCUCAUGAAGUCGGAGUCGCUAGUAAUCGCAGAUCAGCAACGCUGCGGUGAAUACGUUCCCGGGGCUUGUACACACCGCCCGUCAAGUCAUGAAAGUUGGUAACACCCGAAGCCGGUGGCCUAACCGUUGUGGGGGAGCCGUCGAAGGUGGGACUGGUGAUUAGGACUAAGUCGU
rnacentral:rRNA from 1 species